rnacentral:lncRNA from 1 species
GACUUGUACGUGAUAAAUAUGCAUUAUUAAGCCAAACAAAACUGAUUUAUUUUCUGAUUAGCCGGAGACUGCCC